GUAUUCUCAAUCCAUGCAGAAUUAGGAUGUAACUGAUGUUGUUGAUAAUGGGGGAUGGAAAGUGUUAGAACAUGUGUGUGGUGCUGCCUAAAUGAAUGUGAAUGAAAAAUAACUCCCCACUUUCCAUGGUAAGAAGUAAAAGAAUAUUACCCAGAACUGGAAAAUCAAAAGUUAGAAAUGUACAAAAUUUCCCCUUUGUUAACAUCUCUCAUCGCGCUGUGACAUCUGAGGAUAUGGAAAAUCUUUGGGUGGCUGCCUCAAGACACACCACACAGUGUCUUCCUGCUUCAUGGCAUUAGCUCAUCCUAGGAGAGCUGCUUCUCCGCGCCGCUCCGGACUCUCACAGGAGCCUGCCAGGCACACGUGGCCCUCUUCUGCUUACAGGUGCUGGGAUUCAGGACCAGAGGCCUCAUUCUGUCAGGUGAACACGGUGGUCAUCCCAGCUGCCAUAGCAAACCCCACAGAUGCAUCUCCUCUCAGUGUCGCUGCGAGGCUGUCCGUCUGCACACGUGUGUCUCCUAACCUCCUCUUCUUAUGUGGACUCCAGCCAUGCUGGCUUUGGGCUCACCUCCCAGCAACUUCAUCUCACCUUACAUCGUUGAAGUCUCCAUCUCCAAAUACAGUCACCUUCUGAGGUCCUGUGGAUUCUGUGGGGAAAGGUGACCCGGUUCAGCCCAUGCAGUGACAAUGAGGAGCCAGAUGAGAGAUCACGGCUGGGACCACACUGGCAGGGAGGGUGGUGGGAAAGGCUCUGGUCCUGCAGGCAGGUGCUAAGGUAGGGUAUGGAAGCAGUCUGCCCCAAGGGAAGGUGCAUUGCCCUGAGAGAAUGUAACAUCUAAGAAUGGAAAAUUCUAAAUAUUAUCACUGAGAAUAUAGUCCUCCUUCAAAAAUAUUUUGUCUAAAUUUUAAAGAAUGACUGCAAAUACGAUUGAAUUUUAGUACUACAUCUAUAAACUUCAAAUCUGCACAUUUGGUCAACAAUGUGUUCUAUGUGGAUGUUAAUUCAGAGACCUGUCACUUGCAAAGUUGACUGCCCCCCUCUUCCAGGAUCAAGUCAUGCCUAAGUUCCUGUGGCUCUGAACCACACAAGCUCACUUAGGGCCCAGAUAAGGUCUCUUGGUCUUGAAUUUAAAAGGUGGAGUUGAAACAAAUUUUGACAACACAGCAAUUACGAAGGCAAGGCAACAGUAUAUGAGUUCCUUCAACUCCGUCAUUUCAUGUGACCACUUGGGAUAUUUUGUGUGUGUGUGUUUAAAAUUUGAAGUAAAACAGUACAGACUGCGAAAUGUGACAUUUUUGUUUUGCAAGAAAAUAUUUUAAUUCAUAUGCAAACUAUUACUGGUGGUAAACAAUAUAUUUAACUGAAAUUCAGCCUUUUAUAAUUGUUAAGUAAUCGUUUUAAAGCC
ensembl:lncRNA